UACAGAGGUCUCAAGCGUUGUUCGGAUUCAUUGGGCGUAAAGGGUGCGUAGGUGGCGCGGUAAGUCGGGUGUGAAAUUUCGGAGCUUAACUCCGAAACUGCAUUCGAUACUGCCGUGCUUGAGGACUGGAGAGGAGACUGGAAUUUACGGUGUAGCAGUGAAAUGCGUAGAGAUCGUAAGGAAGACCAGUGGCGAAGGCGGGCCUCUGGGCAGUUCCUGACACUGAGGCACGAAGGCCAGGGGAGCAAACGGG
rnacentral:rRNA from 1 species